AGACCGACCCAAAGGGCUUUUCAGGAAGCGUGUGUGCUGCAGUCAGUCAGCAGGGGAGGAGAGAGAAGGCACCACCAUCCGAGGAUUGCGCCACCUAGGCAACCUGAACUUUUUCAUCGAAGACGAUUUUGAUCAGGAAUGCCAUGGUCAACUACAGAAGCUCCCCAGUGAUAGCAGAGCCAUGGGAAAAGCUUCAGACUAGAUCCCGGGUUGUGAGAGGGUGAAUUGUAAUUCUCACAGAGCUUCACCUGACCUGACACCAGCCUGCAGGAGCUUCCCACCAGACUCACAUUGGCAAACAAACACACCCAAGCAGAUUGGCAAAGAGCUGGCAUUGGCACAACCAUGCCGCAUUCAGACGUGAUUCGACUGCGAAUUAGACGGUGAGUGAGGUAAAAAAAAAAAAGGAGAGGAAUCAAGGGGA